rnacentral:rRNA from 1 species
AUAGGUAUUGAUAGCGCUAAUGCAACAGAUCCCAUCAGAACUCCGCAGAUAAGCGUUCUUGGGCGAGAGUAGUACUAGGAUGGGUGACCUCCUGGGAAGUCCUCGUGUUGCACUUC